rnacentral:siRNA from 1 species
AACAUGUCAAAACCAAAGAGUGGU